AAAGAGAUAAACAAAGCCACCGCACAUACCACUUCUUGUGUGUCAUAUAUUGACUUUAGUCAUAGUCUGCAAUAUGGGACAUUGAUAGUAGAGAAGUACUUUGGUUCUUUUAAGCUUCAAGUUAAAAAAAAAAAACCAAAGAUUCAUGCUGGAUUUUCCAGGCAAUCAAACAGGGUGUAGUGGGAAAUCUUGUUAGGGUUGGGGUUAGUACAUUAUUUUCAGUAAGUUGGUCCCUUUGGGUGUCUGCUUGGGAUAGGCUGAGCUCAAGGCACAUGCACAUCAAUAUCAUACCUGAACACGGUGGAUCAGCUCUUGUUCAGAUGUAGAAACAAAGCUAUCAUGUUUCCAGCUUACAACACACUCUCUCUCUCUCUCAUGAAUGGUCACUCUUGUAGUUAACUGAUUCCAUUUGGUAGGAGUUCCACAGGUGGGGUUGAUGUCAUCUUUAGCUGUUAACUGCGACUUAAGAAAUGAAUGCUUGCUCGAUGGUGUUCAACCAAAACUGGGGGAGCUGCAGGAAUCAAUCAUCAUCAAACUAGCUAUUUGGCUUAAAGCUUCAUUCAAGGAUUUCCACUAUUCUAUAAAUGAUGUUAUGUUCAAUAUUUCACAGAUUAGAAAGUGUAUAGGUGAAAGGGUGUGAAGUGUCGUGUAUGUUUUUGGAGUGUCUAGAGAUCUGUGUGAGUUGGAAUCUCUCUAACUCUAUUUGGAGGGUUUGGGAAUGCAAAUGAUUAGUCUUACUUUGGGUGCCAACAUAAUUGAGAUGCUUAGUUUUAAUAAUAAAGCAACUUUUAUUCAAA